CUCUAAUACCAUUCGAGAUUAUAUGUUUUACGGAACAUAUACAGUGAAAGUAUUAGUAUUAAAGGGGUUUAUUCCUUCCUAAAAUAGGUAAAAAUGGAUCGCAAACGAGGUAUUAGUAGAUU
rnacentral:ncRNA from 1 species